GCAAACAGAGGUGUGAUAAGUCAAGAAGGUGCAUGGCCCAAACCAGGGCCAAAACCAAAGUCCACCUGAGGAAGCAGGGGUGCAGAAGCAAUGUGGUGAUAAGGUUCAGUAAAACUACACAAGGCCCAACUCAAUUGAGCCCAAAACAAAACACAGAGGCAAGUGGAAUUCAACAUUCAAUGUAAAUGACCAUUCAAGUGAGUAAAACACGUGCGCAGCCUCUGACCAGAAAAUUCAACACUCAGAUCACCAAGCCACCAUCAUCCACCGCGCUGGAGGUCUCCUCCGCCGGCGGUGGAACACCAUAGUACAAAUUAAAACCAUCAUCGGGACCGUGACAACAUGCUUAUUUCGAAAUCGAGGUUAGUUUUAAUAGAUUGCUACCCUAAGAUCCAAAUAUAGGGGGAAAUCAUGAAGAACCUUAUAUCUUUAGGGAUAAAUUAAAUGACGAUGGUUCAUGGAUUCAUGACCAAACCUUAGGGCUAAUGGUCCCUAGAGUAUUGUCUACGAAAUGGUAACAAGAUCAUGGCAAAAAGAGAAGAAGAAUGUUUAUCUAUGAAACAGAGAUUUAUUCCAGCGAACGUUGAAUCAGAGAAGAUGAAGAUGCGACGGAAAAUCACUUGAACCAGGUUGUUUAACAGGUCAACUUUUGCAAAAAUGUAAUUUUGAUUUCUCUUUGUAAUGAAACAAUGUAUUCUUUGGUAAAUAAUUGAAAAUCAAUGUUUUGAAUGGAA